UGGGGCUCGAACUCACGGAGUGCAAGAUCAUGACCUGAGCCAAAGUCAGCGGCUUAACUGACUGAGCCACCCAGGCACCCCUCCCACCUAAAAUCUUUUUAGUGUAUUCCCAGUUCAACUUCCCCUCAACCAAGUAUCAAAAAUGCUCUGAGCUGUUGUAAUGUCACUCAACAUGAGCUGAAGUUUUCUGAAGGGUGUGUCAGGGAGGAAAUAGACAGUGAGUGGUCUCAACUCAUUCCUGUUUACAUACAUUAGUUUUGCAAAUUUUAUAAAGACAUAUAAUCAUGUGAACACACUGCUAGGGCUCUUUCCAGACCUUUUGAAGACACCUGUGCAAAUGAAGGGGUCUUGAUGCUUAAAGUCCAUUAGCUUCAGAGUAAGUUGGUGAGAAGAGACAAGAGCAGGAGAGUGUGUCCCCAAAAAUGUGGGAAAUAAAGAGGAAUGUCCCCUGUCAUGUGCACUGUCAACACUAGCUUCUUGGAGUUUCCUUCCUGUUUUCUUUUCCUGUCAGGGCAAGAAAAACCUGCAGUGAGAGGCUGUCCACACGAGAGCAGUGACUCUCAGAUAUUACCACAGCAGCAAAGGUGAAAACCAACAGAUUUGGAGUACACUUUCAUCAAACCUGAGGUCUGGAGGAACAGCAGGUGCCUGCAUGUUGUCUGUGGAUUCUUCAGCAGAAAAGACAUCUGUUCAUUGCCCAAGAUUUUGCUGACUGUCAUCCAAAGCAAUCCCAUUAUGAACAGGUCAUCCAAUUUUUAAUGGCUGGGACAUUUUGUGAACACUGAAAACAGCAAAACCACAUACCACUUUCCCAAUGGCCCUCUCUAACAUAGUACCAAACACUUUGAUCUCCAUCUUCUUAUCAAGGAAGAGCUGGAAUUUGCCUUCAUCUUGGACACUCCUGAAGGCUGAUAAAGAGUGCAUGGAGCUUUGUAAAGAAAAGAGAACCAGGCAUUCCAAAGUGCCCAGAUGGCAAUCAAAGAAUAUAGGUCAAUUGCUACACAUGUCCACUGGCAAGAAUAUGACCCUAUUGGGGACCAGGAGCUCAAACUGCACAGAAUCCAGAGUUGUGGGAAGACCAGCAGGCUGGAGACUCAGAGAAAAGUUGAUGGUGCAGUGUUGAGUCCAAAGACUGUCUAUAGGAAGAAUUCUAUAAACACUGAAGAAGACUUCAGUGUUUUCUCUUGAUGCCUUCUGCUGAAUGGAUGAGGCCCAUCAACAUUAAGGAAGAAAUAUUGGCCUGAUCUGUGCCUUCGUCUUCACAUGACAGUUUCCCUGUGUGCAUUUCUGUCUCCAGUUUUCCCCUUUUAUGAGGACACCAAUCAUAUUGGAUCAGGGGCCUACUGCACUGCGAUAUGACAUCAUCUUACCAUUACAUCUGCAAUAACCCUGUCUCCAAAUAAGGUUACAUUCUGAAGGACACUUAGGUAUCAAAGGCGUUGCAGAAAGCACUGUACUUCACUAUCUCAAUGUAUCUUAAGACUUCAAAAGAUACAAGGUUUCCCUCCAUCAAGGUUAAGUACAUCUCGAAGUCUCCAUGUUCAGUGACUUGGAACAGCAAACUAGAAAUACCGUACUCUGUACCAAGACUGCCUCUCAACAAAGAAUGGUGUGUAUGAGCAGCCCGUUUCCAGAUGCAUCCUAGAUGUGAGACUCUGUCUAGGUCAAGCAUAAUGAUUCUGAUGAAAAGUGAAGGAUUCUACUGUAUGUAAUUGGACUUUGACAGAACAGUUUUGCAUAAAGAGAAGGUUAUUAUUGAAACUUGGCCAUGACAAAGAAACUGGUACAGCUUACUUUUGUCAUCUAGUCUUAAAUUCAUCAACCUUGGUUUAAGAACGGUUUUGAUACCACAGUGAAGAAGAAAAGAUUUCUAGUUUGAGGUCAUUAGACAUGAACCGUUUGAACGAAAGAAAAAUGAGUCGUCUAAAAUGGCUACAGCGGAGGAUAUUGUUUGUAUCAGCAUGGAACAGAAUGAGCCGCCUCAGAAAACUACAAGAAUCCCAAUUAGACAAAUUUUUCCUCUGGAUGGAAACUGGUAACAAAGAUAAAGGAGUCCAAUAACGAACUCUUUAUUUUUCUUUCUCUUGACACACCCCCUCUUUUGUAUCAGGCACUAAAAAACAUGCCUGCCCUAAAAUCUUGAAUAUUGAGCACUUUGAUGUUUCCUCCCUUUUUUCUAAGAAUUUAACAUUUCCCAGAAUUUUGUAGCACUGAUAACUAUCACUCCUGUCCCCUGAUAAUCUCAGUUCCAUGCAACUUGUAAAAGGCAGUCUGACCCUGAGACUUCAUAGUGGGUGGCAGAUGGCUUUCGUGAAUGCCUAUUUCUGCUAUUAAAAUAAAAUGACAGGAAACACCACAGAAGUUUCUUUUAUUUGAAAAAAAAAAUGAGGGUUGUCAUAUGAUGUGAAAUACAAAUCUAAGGGCUUUGGCAGUCACUAACCUCACGUAGCAUGGUUAUCACUGGAAGGUAAAUGUAACAUCCACCUUCAGGUCUCCGUGAAAGAUGCAUUGUGCGAAAGGCAAGAGAGUGCUUUCUGGCCCAGUACUUACACGUGUAGCAAUUUAUUAUAUGAAAAUGCAGAGUGCAACUCAGACAACUUGUGAGCACUUAUUGAAGUUGCCAGGCAAAAAUAUUUUCCUCCAUGCUACAUUAGCAUUUUCUGGUUUAGACCAGCUGAUCUUUUUGAAUUGGGCUGCAUGAAUCAUCACAUCCAGUAUGUAAAUUUCAUACGUAUAUUUAAAUAUUUUUCCUUUCAAAUUGGAAACAGAAUUCAUAUUAUAGCCAAUAUAGUCUGGAAAAAAAAAUAAAGAGUCAGGUUGCUGUCCCCUCCACACAUCUAAAAAUUCUAAGAGUCUACAAGCUUAAUGUGGAGAGCAUCAGGGAUGUUUUCAAUAGUCAAGAGUGUCACUCAUUCUACUUUUUCAAAGUUCUUAGUUCCCAUUAAUAAUUUUAUAUACCAUAAUCAUUCACCUUGAACAUUUGCUAAUAUGUUUAAAAUGCCAUUCUCUACUUAAUUGUUUCCAACAAGCGCUUUUAUUGAACAUCCACCAGGCAAAAAUGUACCAUUUCGAGUGUUCUGGAACCUCCUGCUUUCGUUUAUUAAUAACUCCCAAACAGAAUGUCUGCUUUAGACAUUAGUUUCCGAAAUAGAAUCGAAUCUUAAUUAGUUCAAGAGAAACUCUACUUAAGUAGUCUUAGAGAAAAUGCGCUAAUUUCCCCUCUAAUAUAUCCUCCUGUUGUUUGACUGUGAUGAGAAUGGUCUUUUAAAAGAGGCCUCAGGUGUGAAACCAACUGUUCAGGCUCAUUGUCAGCUGCUGGUUUCUAGAGUAUUAAUUCAAAAUUAGUGAAAAUAUAAGACUAUGUCUACAUUGGCCAACUCUAUUGCAAAAUUGAGCAAUUUUCAGUCAAGGGUGCAGCAUCCUCUACAAUGCCCUUGAGGAAGAUUCAGAAGCUCAUUCUAUUUCCAUCUGCUUCCAUCAUUAGAGAAUGCAGUUGAUUGAUUCAACCUCACUAACAAUAAGAACGGAUGCUGUUUAACUAAAAGGUGCCAUUCUAGAAUUUCAUGGAUUCACCUGUUGUCCCCUAGUAGGUCUAUGAUAAUCUGAGAAAGCAGCUAGACCGGACCCUUGCAAGAGGGUUUGUGUCCUACAUGUUGAAGACUGAAGAGGACUCUGUUAAGAAUGCCAGCUCCCAAGUAAAAUAUGGGCAAAAUUGGUUGGAGUUGAAGUCUUCCUUGUAAAGAGGUGCUGCACAUUUGAGAAGUCAGCACCACACAGAUCCUCAGACCAGGCUACCUUCAUCGAUUAUGCAAUCCGUAACUCUGCCUCAAAUAAAAUCAACAGGAAUUUCUUUUAGGCUUUAUAAAUAACUGAAAACAAAGCUUAAACUUAGCCUUGGAUGAUGAAACUAUUUUUUUUCUAAAAGCUUCUUUGUGGCUACACACACACACACACACACAUUAUAAAAAAUGGAAGAAAAAAGUUGUUUUAUAUUUCUGCUUACACAGAAAUCAUAUUAUUGUACAGAGUAAAACAGUAAACUUAACUUUGGGGCUCAAUUGAGACUUGCUUAAUUGAUUGUUCAGAAUACAGAUAUUCAAGAAUAUUACAGAAAGUUUCAUUAUAAUUUACUAAUCAAAAUACUAUUUUUUGGUCAUUUUUGUUUGUUUGUUUGUUUUGGCCAAAUACAAAAUGGCCAUUAUUCUAGUACAAAAGGAAAUGUUUGGGGGAGUUUACUGAACACAAAAAAAUCAAGUGAUUACUAGAGUUAUUUGAGCUUAUAGCUGUCCUUCAGUUGAGAUUUCCAGAAAUAUCUGCCAUAAAUUUUAUUCUGCGUUUUAGAUUAAGAAGGUAGUGUUUAUUUCUGAUAGGGUCAAUGUAUUUGCAGAAAAGGAAAGAAAAUCUCUAUAUAACACUUAGGUUAAGUUUGCUAUUUUGAGCAAUAAAUGUCGAUGUUAUAAUAACAUAAUUUUUCUCCAUAAUACUAACCUUUUGAGAAAAGAAAAGCCUUCUUGUUGUUAAGCUGAUCAGUUCUGUCUGGGUAAACAGGACUUAAUCAUGUAGCAAUUACUUGUUUCAGGAAGACUCUCUGUUAUUUGUGUUGUGUUAAUCCACAUCAAAAUAAAAUAGCCUUGGAUAGGUAA